UUCCGGUUGAUCCUGCCGGAGGCGACCGCUUUUGGAGUUCGAUUAAGCCAUGCGAGUAGAAUGAAUUAGAUCAUUGCAAACUGCUCAGUAACACGUGGAUAACCUGCCCUAUGCUCCGGAAUAACCUCGGGAAACUGAGAAUAAUACCGGAUAGAUCACAACGCCUGGAACGGUGUGUGGUUGAAAGAUUACGGCAUAGGAUGGGUCUGCGGCGUAUCAGGUUGUAGGGGGUGUAAUGUACCCUCUAGCCCUCUACGCGUACGGGUGUUGGGAGACAUAGCCCGGAGAUGGAUUCUGAGGCACGAAUCCAGACCCUACGGGGUGCAGCAGGCGCGAAAACUUGGCAAUGCGAGAAAUCGUGACCAGGGAACUCCAAGUGCAUCGGGUAAGACCGGUGCUUUUCUUGACUCUAAAUAGGUCUUGGAAUAAGGGGUGGGUAAGGACGGUGCCAGCCGCCGCGGUAAUACCGGCGCCUCAAGUGGUAGUCGCUUUUAUUGGGCCUAAAACGUCCGUAGCCGGUCUGAUACAUUCGUGGGUAAAUCAACCAGCUCAACUGGUUGAAUUCUGCGAGGACGGUCAGACUUGGGACCGGGAGAGGUGUGGGGUACGCUCAGGGUAGGGGUAAAAUCCUGUCAUCCUGAGCGGACCACCUGUUGCGAAGGCGCCACACUAGAACGGAUCCGACGGUCAGGGACGAAGCCUAGGGGCACGAACCGGAUUAGAUACCCGGGUAGACCUAGGUGUAAACGCUGUGGACUUGAUGUUGGGGGUGCUCCGAGCACUCUCAGUGUCGAAGCGAAGGUGAUAAGUCCACUGCCUGGGAAGUACGGUCGCAAGGCUGAAACUUAAAGGAAUUGGCGGGGGAGCACCGCAACCUGAGGAUUGUGCGGUUUAAUUGGAUCAACGCCGAA
rnacentral:rRNA from 1 species